UACGAAGGGGGCUAGCGUUGCUCGGAAUCACUGGGCGUAAAGGGUGCGUAGGCGGGUCUUUAAGUCAGGGGUGAAAUCCUGGAGCUCAACUCCAGAACUGCCUUUGAUACUGAAGAUCUUGAGUUCGGGAGAAGUGAGUGGAACUGCGAGUGUAGAGGUGAAAUUCGUAGAUAUUCGCAAGAACACCAGUGGCGAAGGCGGCUCACUGGCCCGAUACUGACGCUGAGGCACGAAAGCGUGGGGAGCAAAGCAGG
rnacentral:rRNA from 1 species